GAAACAUUAAAUGAAAAAUUGUGUCCACAUUAAAUGAAUACAGUAGAAGAGAAUAAUAUCGAGUUCCGAUACACGAAAAUACUUUUUUCAGCCUCAUUUUCAUUCCACUUUUUCCCGCGCUUAUGACGUCACACAUCUCGUCGCGUUUACAUCGCCACGAGACUGAACUGAGCUGUGUACAUGCGAUAUUAAGCAGAUUCAACUACAAAGAAGUAAACAUACAAAGAUGACAGAAGAAGGGCAAAAUGAAAGCAGAGAUGACCAAACAGAAGAAAAUAGCAAAGACAAAAAAGAAAAAACGAAAAAACGAUGCUAUAGAUGCGGGCGUGUCGGGCAUAUUGCCCGACACUGCCCGCGCAAACGCUCGAAAAGAAGACAAGGCUGGAAGAUGCCGUACAGCGUCAACAUCUACUUUCAUGGACGAUAAUAAUUAAAAAAAUAAUUAAAAAAAUGUCGGCACUUACUCAUUGUUUGUUUUCCCUUUUUUUCGUACAGUUGACUCUCUUUGAACGACCACUCUCGUAAGCGACCAUAUCCCGUAUGCGACCAUGCACGUUUUAAAUUUGCCGUUAUAAUUGUUCCCCAUAUAAACUCU